rnacentral:rRNA from 1 species
UAAAAUGAUUGGAGGAAUGUAGCUUCGAUCUCGUAUUGAAGUGUUAUAGCCUUUGGUAGAUGUGACGAUCGGGAUUGAGGAUUGCAACGGAUACCCUUCGGGGCUACCUGUCUGAUCUCUGAUUGUUGCUCUGGUGCUGAAAGCUUGCUUAUGGUUAUCAAAGUCGAUGGUCAAUAGGUUAGAAUGGGGUUAAAUUCGUUAAGGGAUGUUGACGUA